AGACCCUUGUUGGAGAAGCAGGUCACGUGCAAAGCUUCGUUCCAAACCCCCCCCUCUCCAUCUCUGCACGUGCUCCUCUUCUCCAACAUGGAUUC
rnacentral:pre_miRNA from 1 species